rnacentral:rRNA from 1 species
UCCACGCUGUAAACGAUGUCGAUUUGGAGUUUGGGGGCAUGACCCUUGGGCUCCGGAGCUAACGCGUUAAAUCGACCGCUGGGGAGUACGGCCGCAAGGUUAAAACUCAAAUGAAUUGACGGGGGCCCGCACAAGCGGUGGAGCAUGUGGUUUAAUUCGAUGCAACGCGAAGAACCUUACCUGGUCUUGACAUCCAUAGAAUCUUUCAGAGAUGAGAGAGUGCCUUCGGGAGCUAUGAGACAGGUGCUGCAUGGCUGUCGUCAGCUCGUGUUGUGAAAUGUUGGGUUAAGUCCCGCAACGAGCGCAACCCCUAUCCUUUGUUGCCAGCACGUAAUGGUGGGAACUCAAAGGAGACUGCCGUUGAUAAAGCGGAGGAAGGUGGGGACGACGUCAAGUCAUCAUGGCCCUUACGACCAGGGCUACACACGUGCUACAAUGGCGUAUACAAAGGGAUGCGAAGGUGCGAACUGGAGCGGACCUCACAAAGUACGUCUAAGUCCGGAUUGGAGUCUGCAACUCGACUCCAUGAAGUCGGAAUCGCUAGUAAUCGUGAAUCAGAAUGUCACGGUGAAUACGUUCCCGGGCCUUGUACACACCGCCCGUCACACCAUGGGAGUGGGUUGCACCAGAAGUAGAUAGCUUAACCUUCGGGAGGGCGUUUACCACGGUGUGGUUCAUGACUGGGGUGAAGUCGUAACAAGGUAACCA